UCAUGGUGGUGGUUGGGGUCAGCCCCAUGGUGGAGGCUGG
rfam:Neotoma lepida isolate 417 scaffold_181, whole genome shotgun sequence.